rnacentral:rRNA from 1 species
UACGUAGGGGCCGAGCGUUGUCCGGAGUUACUGGGCGUAAAGCGCGCGCAGGCGGCUCGUCAAGCCUGACGUGAAAGCCCCCGGCUCAACCGGGGAGGGUCGUCGGGGACUGGCGGGCUUGAGGUCGGCAGGGGUUGGUGGAAUUCCCGGUGUAGUGGUGAAAUGCGCAGAUAUCAGGAGGAACACCCGUAGCGAAGGCGGCACUCUGGGCCGAUACUGACACUGAGGAGCGAAAGCGUGGGGAGCGAACAGG